AUGGAACAUUGGCUGUGGAUUAUUCUUGCUGCUCUUUUCUUUGAGUGUAAAGGAGAAGACAAAGUGAUCCAGACACCAGGAGAUGUCAUUGCUACUGAAGGAGACACUCUCACACUCAGCUGUACUUUUGAGACAACUGAUGUGAACUAUUAUUUGUUCUGGUACAAACAAGAAGAAAAUAGUUUUCCAAAGUACAUGCUGAAACGUUAUUCAAGUAUAAAAGAAAAUGCUCCAGAUCUCCACGAAGACAGAUUUGAUGCUGAGCUCAAAGACAAAUCAGUUCCUCUGAAGAUCCAGAAGCUUCAUGUGUCUGACUCUGCUGUGUACUACUGUGCUCUGAGGCCCACAGUGACAGGAAACACCAAAACUCUGAACAAAAACCUUUGGAGCAAAGACAACACAAUCCUCCACAACAUCCACUAGAGGGAGCCACACUCUGUCCUUCUUCUAUGGUUGGUUAGGAUACAGUCUGCUCUAGAUUCAUUGUAGAGGUGAUAGAACAUCAACAUCCUCAAAGAGGAGAUGGAGAGAUUCAGGGAGGAGCUGAGCUGUUACUGAACUAUAGAAGAGA